AAGUACUGUUAAAUAAUUCAAAAUCGUAUCGGCUGAUAAAACAUGAUCAAAGUUAAAGCAGAUAGUGAAAUGUCAAUCAAUAUUUGAUAGUUAAACUUUUUAUUGCUUUGUUUGAAGACACAUGAAAUAGUUUCUGCUAUUAUGUUGAGUUUAUUAAUGGUCAGUUUCAAGGUCUACGGCACUGUUCUGAUUUGUCUUUUGUUAGAUGGACUUUUGACACAACCAAUAGUAACAGAACAGCAUCUAAGUGGACCACUGACUAACAUGGAAGUUUUCGAGGACAAAGUUUACAUUGGUGGGACAGAUGUGAUUUAUAUUCUGAAUGACGAUUUGAGUGUUAAUCAGACCGGAAGUACGUGUAACAAGACUGUACCUAAAUGUGGAAAUGUAAACAAAGUUUUGCUGCUAAAUACAUUGGCACGUGAGGUGUAUAUAUGCGGUACUGGUAUGAAGGGAUUUUGCGACUCAAGAUCAAUGAAUGCUAUAGGAACUGUGAAAUUACAAAGUUCAAAUAGUACUAUUGCACUGAAAGUAUCAACAGACACCAAAAGGCCUGCUAAAGGUAUUAUUACAAUACAUGGUCACAUAAUGAUGGCAGUGACAUAUGGCAACGGUAUUAGUACCAUUGGACAGACAGGGGGUGCUUCGACUUACAAUUAUUCUUUAAGUACAUGGACGACAUCACUUAUACCGGUGACAGACAUAAAUCAUGGACAAAAAAUUCUUCAGUUGGACCUUAACGUUGGAAAUUUAAAUGACUAUAUAAUCUACUAUAAAUCGUCGUUUCAAGAAAAUGGAUACAGUUAUUUUCUGACAAACCAGAAAGAAUUUGUCGGGAGUUCGAAUUACGUUACAAAACUCGUGCGUAUUUGUCAAAACGAUACGAAUUAUGAGUCAUAUACAGAUAUUUUUGUGAACUGCGAGUACAACGGGAAAGUAUAUAAUUUGCUUCAAGAUGCCAUUCUCAUUGACCUACACUCUGGAUUCAACAGCUCUGAGAAUGUAUUUGUAGGAGCCUUUACACAGGGCAAUGAUUCCGAGAGUCCAGUUGGUGACACUGUUUUAUGUUUAACAAAACUUAAAAUGUUCGAUAACACAGUUAUGGAAGCUAAAAGGAACUAUGCACUGACAUGUGCCAAUCAGAGUGACCUAAACAGAUAUCUACCCGAUUUUAAAAAAGGGUUUUGUAUACAAGAACAAGAUUUUCGCUACGAGGAUUUCGUAUGUGGAACAGUCUUUGGAUCAUUUAAAUAUGUAAUAGGCAAUGUGACAGUUAGUUUAACACAAGGUUACAAUGUGGAAGCAAUUCAUGGUGUUAUAACAGCCCUUCAUGGAACGGCUAUCGGCAGAAACAACCUAGUUUUGAUGACAGGUACAUCCGAAGGCAAGGUAUUGCAGCUAAACUUACAGCCUGAUUCAGACCGACUAGUACUGUAUAACACCUUUGACGCCGAUGCUGGUGUGCGGAUUCAAGGAAUUCAUCAGUAUAAUGAUGACAAAUUGUUUGUUAUGAGCAACAAAAAAGUGAUGAUGUUUUCUAGUUCCAACUGUUCGGAAUUCAAAACUUGUCCUGAAACCAUGGCGGGUAAAAAUCCUCUUUGUGGUUGGUGUGUACGAGAAGACAGAUCAACGAGAAAGAAAGAUUGUUCCAAUGCUACCAACCACUGGCUAUCUUCACUUGAAGAAUGCGUAUCAAUCUUCAUUCGGCCAAUGGGAAUUUCUCUCUCCCGAAACCAGUCAAGCACUAAUAUAACAAUUACAGUAACAAACCUUCCAUCUACGGUAAAUGGUGAUGUUUACCGUUGCAUAUUUAAUGUAGAAAUUGAAAAAGAAACUUACAGUGCACAGGCUUCACGAUUAAAUCAGUCCAGUUUUACAUGCACUACACCAACCGUCGAAGGUCACGCCAAAGCACAAAUUGAGUUAGUGCUAAUACCUGCAACAGGGCAGCAAGUCGUACUUUCAGGGAAGUCGUUCUUUUUCUAUAUGUGUGCCAAUUUCACAAGUUGUGGUGAGUGUGUUAACACAACAGGUGUUAAGUGCGAAUGGUGUUCAGAAAGUGUGUCUUGUCAGUCGCCAUCGUCGCCUUGCAUGUCCCAGCCGCCAGUUUCUAAAGUAAAUUUAUGCCCAAGUGUAAUGAUCAGCCGAGGGAUUCAUUUUAUACCAAAUGGUAUCUUAACUAAUGUUUCCUUUCUCGCAAAGAAUUUACCUGUUUCAUCAAAUAUCAAAUACAGCUGUAUCUUACCUAAAGCGCUAGUCCAUUUCCACGCAAACAUAUAUGGCAACAAUGUAUCUUGUGGAUUAAAUUCACACUUUAUGGAUGUAGAGCACUUGCAACGGACUGCAGUCACUGCAAUGCUCUUAACUCUACGCGCUAUAAAUGCGAAUGGUGCAUGGAUAGAUGCAAUCAUGUCAAUACCAGUUGCAUUCAACCUACAUAUUGUCCGGCACCUGUGGUCAAUAAGGUUAUACCACGAAAUGGACCAACUGCUGGAGGUACUAAGGUUACCAUAUAUGGUGAAGAAUUCGGGUCAAAAAUAUCAGACGUUGAUGUCAUAGAGUUUGGACAUACGAAAUGUAGAUUGAGUUCCAAUCUCACAGAUUAUAACAUUACUGACAGUGAAGAUUUUGAGCUACUUGCACCAUCUGUAUUGGUUUGUACAACUGGUCGGAUGUCCACAGAUACCACAGUAAACGUUACUGUCACAGUGAAUGGAAAACGUUCUGCAACAACAGUGGUUUUCGAUUACAAG